AACGAACGCUGGCGGCAUGCCUAACACAUGCAAGUCGAACGAGACCUUCGGGUCUAGUGGCGCACGGGUGCGUAACGCGUGGGAACCUGCCCCUAGGUUCGGAAUAACUCCCCGAAAGGGGUGCUAAUACCGGAUAAUGUCUUCGGACCAAAGAUUUAUCGCCUUUGGAUGGGCCCGCGUUGGAUUAGCUAGUUGGUAGGGUAAAAGCCUACCAAGGCGACGAUCCAUAGCUGGUCUGAGAGGAUGAUCAGCCACACUGGGACUGAGACACGGCCCAGACUCCUACGGGAGGCAGCAGUGGGGAAUAUUGGACCAUGGGCGAAAGCCUGAUCCAGCAAUGCCGCGUGAGUGAUGAAGGCCUUAGGGUUGUAAAGCUCUUUUACCCGGGAUGAUAAUGACAGUACCGGGAGAAUAAGCUCCGGCUAACUCCGUG
rnacentral:rRNA from 1 species